rnacentral:rRNA from 1 species
GACAGAGGGUGCAAACGUUGCUCGGAAUCACUGGGCGUAAAGGGCGUGUAGGCGGGACAGUAAGUCGGGCGUGAAAUCCCUGGGCUCAACCCAGGAACUGCACUCGAAACUACUAUUCUUGAGUGUCGGAGAGGAAAGCGGAAUUCCUGGUGUAGAGGUGAAAUUCGUAGAUAUCAGGAGGAACACCAGUGGCGAAGGCGGCUUUCUGGACGAUAACUGACGCUGAGACGCGAAAGCGUGGGGAGCAAACAAG